ensembl:lncRNA
GGAGAGUGCUUUUCCCUGGACACUUAAUUUUGGCAGAGCUUCUGGUAGAUCCACGUUGCUGGUCAUAUUUGUGUUGAGCUCUUCUGAUGUCAUAUGUACUCUGCUAUAUUCAGGGGAGGAAUGAACCUACCAGGGACACAUUCUAUGGCUUGCCUGGAGACAUUUCAGAUGCUGGCAGGAGGACUGUCUGGAACUGACAACACCAGCCGUAAUUACUGAGGAGACACUGAGAGAGGCAUAAAGACGGAAGCACUGAAUUGUCAGCACUUUCUUUUUGUAUACUGAGACAAAAUCUGCCUCCCUUUAACUUCCACUUUACUGUCAUGCCUAGCAUAUAAGGAUAUCCUAAGCACCAUCC